AGAUACUUAGUAUAGGGGUACGGACGAUUUCCAUUUGUCAGGCUAUGUAUCUA
rnacentral:tRNA from 1 species